AUAUCCAACGUGUUGGACCCGAGGUUCAAGAAAAUGUAUUUCCAAAGUCCAUUGAAUUGCUCGAAGGCAAUACAAAUCGUUAAUGAUUUAAUGGGAAAUAAUACUUCCAAUGAUACAAGAGUUGCUCAGGCAGUUGAGGUUGAGAAGGAACCUGUUGAGGGAGCCGCAUUCAGUUUAUGGGCAGGUCAUGAACGACUUGUUUCAAAUGAAACCCGAAUAGAGGACAAUAUGUCAGAACUCUCAAUAUAUUUGAGAAAUUCGGUUAUAUCACUGAAAGAGAAUCCUUUGAGAUGGUGGAGAGAAAAAAGUGAAAACUAUCCCACACUUUCGAAAAUCGCUAUUAAAUAUCUCUCUGUUGUGGCUACAUCAGUUCCAUCUGAGCGUUUGUUUUCGAAAGCUGGGCAAACGCUCUCCCAACAAAGGAACAGGCUGAAAGGAAAACGACUUUCCAAAAUUUUAUUUCUGGAAUCCAUAAAUAAAGCAACUUGGGACUUGUAACAGUUGUAACCUCUUAUAAUUUUUGCGCUCUUAAUUUUUUCAUUCAAAUUUCCAUUUUAUGUUCUAGUUAUCUGUAUUUUUUUUCGAAAUAUAAAAAUUUUUUAGUAACAAUUGAAAUUAAUUUGGUAUAUGUGAAUCAAAUAUAUUAAUUUAAUAAAUUCCCGUUCAUUGAGAGUCUGAAAACAUCGAGAGAUUCACAUACAUCGAUGUUCACAAACAUCGAUGUUCAAUUAUCGAUGUUUACUUAACAUCGGUGGUUCGUUCCGAUGUUAUCAUCGAUGUUGAACAUCGAUGGUGAGCUAUCGAUGUCCCAUCCCAAUUUGUGGGUACGAAAUCUAAAUUCAGAUUUGUUACCAGCACCGGAAGUAUGGAAGGAUUAUGUUGACAUUGACAGCAGCCUUAUGACAUACGAAGAACCCACAGAUGAAAAUAUUGUCAAAAAUAUAACAGAAAAUGAGCAGUAUGAAAGUGAUGGAGAAGAAGAAAUCGAAGAAGAUCGAACGCCUACAGCAGAAGAAGCUCUGAAAGCUGCAGACUUACUAUCGAAAUUUGUUCACAGUCAGAUGGAAAGUGAUAAUUUGAACUGGGCCAUGUCUACCUUGCAUAAUGGUAUUAGGAGCUUCUAUUAUAAUUGCAAGAAAAAACAGAUGCAAACUAAAAUUACAGAUUUCUUUAGUAAAAAAUAAAAAAAAAUUACAUAUUGUACAUAUUUAGUAUUUUUGUAAUAGACGAUGUUUUUUUAUUAUUUUUUUUUAUUAAAAGAAUCGUACAAUUAAGGGCCUUUUUUUCAAA